rnacentral:lncRNA from 1 species
GGAAAACCACAUAAACUUUUACAAAGAAAAAUAAAAGCAAGUUUGACAUGAAAACCCCUUCCUGUCUAGGAAACUUCAUUUUAAAGGUCCCCUCUGUAAAUCUAAAGUGCAAACACCAGGCUAAGGUAGUGAGUGGCUGGAAUUUGCAUGCUGAUAAGAGAAGGCUGUUGUACUUACAGUGACAGAGGGCAGGCUGCGGAAGAAAAGCUGUUUGUGUUAGCCUGAGAGUCACCCAGGGCUGCAGUGAGAGGAGAAGAGAGGAGUGGGAGUGCCAAGCUGGAUACACCUUCACCGCAUCUCAUCACAUCUGCCAGCCUCUCUCUCCCUCUCUCUUUCAUUUCCACAUUCCCUUUGUUCCUGAAAAAAAAAAAAAAAAAAAUCUACACGUCACAUCAGUCCCCAGAUGCAGUCUACACCAAAGAAAAAAAAUGAAUAAUUCAAUCAAACUGUGCAUAGUCUCUAAGGCACUAAAUCUAUUGCACUUAAAGAAACGAAGGGUAAUUACCGCUAUAGAAUUAGAAUAAGGCCAGAGCGUGCAGGGAUCCCAGGGUCUGUAAACUCCACGGUCAAAUAAAGUUUCACGUAUUUAAUCCUUUGACAACCCCAAUGUAAACUAGAGGGGAGGAUCAGAACUUAUUCCGGUUGGGUUUGAGAAUGCUUGAAGUGAAUGUUACAGAAGCGGAGCGCCCGUGAUCUGUGACAAACACAAUGCGAGGAAGUCGAAGUGUUUCACUGCAUCACCUCCAGGGUCCGUUCCCCCCUCCCUAACGAAGAGCAGACCACACUCCCACCGGCUUCUGCCGCUCUCUGCAAGUGCAGCGGGAAUCGCUGGCAGCCAGCAGCCGCCUUACCUGCUAGAUCGCCAACGACGCCUGACAAAAACUCAGGCUAGGCGGCAAUUUUGUCCCACGCUUUGGCGGAGAGAAGCCACGGGGGAUUCGCAGCGGCGAGGAUUGACUCGAAACGCUGCCCCUGACUCGCGGAUUCGCGCUGGGCUGACUUUGGGGACUGCCUGCCGGGGGCGGGGGGAGUGCGCUGGGGAGCGGAUCCCAGCUGGGCGGGCGGCAGGCGCAGCGCUGCCGGAGCCCCGCGACAGAGCGGCCGGGCCGGGCCGGAGGAGGGCCGCACUUCUCCCUCUCCUACCUCUAACGGUGCGCUCUCGGCUCGGAGGUAAGAUGACUCUAUAUUGUGUUUAUUCUCUCCGGGUGACUCAGGUCCCAGGGGCAUGCUUCUGUAUUAAUGAGGGCGGCGGCGGCACGGGGCCGUGUCUCAGAUCGUUAGACUGAAAUCAAGCCGGAGUUUAACGUCGGUAUCUGCCGCUUUGCACUUUCAAUCGCAUUCUUUGUAAACUUCUCCUGGGAGGCUAGGGGAGGAGAGAGAGAAGGGGAAGAAAAACAACCCCAGGUGAGACCGCACCGUGACGCUGACACACACCGCUCUAAUUCAGCGCGGCUUUGUGCCGGCCGGGAACAUUCAAACACCUUCCACUGACGCAGAGCAUCGCGCAGCUCCUGUACUCGAACCGCUUUAAUAGGCAGUUUUGAUUUAUCCAAAACAUUAACGGAACUGUUAUUCUAAUAAAGGUAAACUAGAAAACACGCUUGCCUCUCCGCUCACUCGGGCUUUGUUUACGUGCUUAAAACGCCACCGUGAGGCCGGCGCGUAUAAAGCAGCGAGAGCAGCCGCCUGCCAAGGGGCUCUCGGAUUAGCACUUCGCAAAGCAAAACAAACAGCGGUAGCGGCAGCGCGAAAGUCAUCGAAGAAUCCGCUGCCGGCGGGCGCGGGGCCGGGAAACUCCGCCAUGGGAGCGUCGCCCGGGCCCCCGCACGUACACGGACACGCGGGUGAGGGAAAGAAGGGAGGAAUUGAAGACUUGGAAAUGGAAAACGCAAAGCGAAGAAAAAAACCAAGCGUAUUCCCUGCCCGCCUGCCUGUUGGCGGAAAGGAGCGGCCCCACGCGAUCCUCGGCCAGCGGGAAGCAGCCCCGGCCGUUCCCAGCCGCCCCGCUGCCCCCCGGCCGCCCGCUGCCGCGCAGCUCCCUUAGGGCUCCGUCCGGCCCGGUCCCGUCCUCGGGCACACGCAGGCCAUUCCCGCUGCCCACGCUUUCCCAGAGGUUUAACUUCGCAGGUCUUCCCGAGGAUUUCAAAUCACAGGCUAGGUUAGUAAUCUACACUCGAUUAGUAUAAUAGAAGGCAAAUUAAAAGAAGAAAAAUAAAAAAAAUAAGACUAAGCUGUUAGACCCACAAGCAGUGCUUGGAGUGACACCGCUUCAAGUUGCGGGCAAGACUCGGCACAAGGGGAUUCCUGGGCACGCUCCAGGCACAAGGAAGCUAUAGCAAGGGAGCAGCAGCAGGAGACAGGUGCUGUUCGAUGGGAGCACAGCGUCUCCCCACGCACUGCUGCUCCCAGCCCUGCUCUCGUAAAGAGCCCUGAGCCGGGAAGGUGUCCUGCCCAGGGACUCAGCAGCUGGUAGGAUUGAUGCUCUCCUCAAAGCAUCGGAAAGCAUUCAUCACGCCCAGGUGUCCCGUCACCAACAGAGCACUAACUGCACCGGCAAAGCUGAAGUCACCGAGCUCUUGGCUACGAAUUGCACUGGCAGAGUAAGUUCUGGAAAUGAAUUACGAGAGUGCUAUUAAGAAGCUCCAAAUAGUAAUAAUACAAAAAAAAAAAAAAAAGUAGUUACAUUUGGCCAUGAUUAGAAAUUAUAUCGAGAUUGAAUACCUGGUAUUGUGCAGGUAUAGAGGAAAAAAAAAAGAAACAGUAAUGCAACUAAUUGUGGAAGGUACAGGGACCUCCAGUGAAAUGCUCUUCCCAUUCUGGAUAUUUCAGCUGUCACCUGGAUUUGUGUCAUUGUCAGCUUGAUCAUUUUCUACUGCCAUCUCUGUAUAGUAGGCUGACCAUAAAACACAGUUAAUGUACAUAAAAGCAGUCCAAGAUGAACGAUUAUUUCAAACGUCCAUUUUCAUCAGCAAGUCAGAGCCGUGCAGGAGCCACCAGAGCAGCCACCCAACCCAUGGCCCCGCUUCCUCGCACACACACCUGUGGGGCCCCCUGCACUGCUGCACCAUCGGGCCCAGCCUCAGGGAGAGCUGAGUGUGCCUUGCACAAGGGGAAGGACACAGAAACACUGUACCCCCCUAUUUGAGGAGCCGGGAAGAUACACAUGCUAAGGAUUCCUUGUAGCCCACACUGGUGCUAUCUUAUAUGUCAGCCCAGAAUAUAUUUUUAAAGUUCCUGACCUAACUACUACACUACAGGCAAGAUACUAUGUAAAAACCAAAAAAACCCCAAAGGCCAGAAUAAAAACACAAAGCUGCCUUUGACCUGAGGACUGGCCCACAUUACAAAUAAAUGCAUUGCCACUAAGCCACGUACAUAUGACACAUGAACAGAAAUAAAUGGAAUACUCAGAGGAUAGCCAAUGACUUUGUAUUUUAUAUUAUUACUGCUGUGCACUUUUAAAAUGCAUUGUUUUUAGGGUGUUCCCGUGAGUUUAGGAGAGUCUGGCCUAAGCCACUGCUGGCUGUCCCACUCAAGUUCAAACCCUGUGCAGGUACAGUGCAUACUUCUUGUUAAGAAGAUUAAAACAGCGAUGCCAAAAUGGAUAAACUGUUCAGAAAAUAUCAACGCCAAAGGUGAAAAUGUCUCCAAAGAGCCCUGGGGGUACAAAGCCGUCCUGGCCCGCCCCAUUCUGCACGAGGGUUAUACAUCCCAUGGCAUACUGCACGGGUGGUAUGGCCACCUCCUCCCUUUGAUCACCCCUAAGAACACUUCACGAUUUCUAACCAAAACAUGCAGUAGUGACUUCUUGCACCAAAGUCAGCUAAGAAGCAAAUCACUGUAUAAAUCUUUCCAAGCGUGUUUUAAUAUAGCUUACUGAACCGGGAACACUGGGUAGGAACUGCUGAAAGUGUUCAGACUGUUAAAAACUAAAAUGCGACAUGAUCUCAACAUAUUUGAACAUUCAUUUAUAUGAUUUUUUUUUCCCCAGCAUAAUAUCAUAUUUAAGACUGAAGUACAGUAAAUGUGACUCGACUGCUUUGGAAUCUUCCUAAGACAAAUGACUGGAAGAUCAAGGUGUUUUAUUUCCUAUUUGAAUCAAUGAUCAAUAAGUCUUAUACACGAGAAGCAUGAAUUUGGACUAUAAAACACACUUUUUUAAUAAGUGCAAGUUAUACUGAAUAAAAUAAGUAUGUUUUGAAAGCAAAACUCACUAUUUUUUAAGUCAUUGCAAUCUGUAAUUAUGAAGUAACUUGAAUAAGGCAUCUUACAUUGGUCCUAAAUUUUUUACUCAAGUAAAACACUCAUUGAUUCCAAUGUGAGUGUUGCUUGAGUAAUAGAGUUCCCUGUCAAACUGCUAAAAUCAGCUAAGUUCUAAAAGCCUGCAGAUUGAUGGAAUGGCAUGAUUAUACUGAAAGUAUGUAUUUAAUAUGGAAAAAAUAAUUCACAUUACCAGGCGAAAGGUUUUUAGCAUUUACAAUGAAAUAAGGCGGUAACAUAAGUAGAUACUGUAAGUGGGUUUAUGGUUCUGUGUCUGGUCACGCAGACUCUCGUUCUUGUGGCUUCACUUGUGUAAGUGCAUCAGUACUCGUGUCACAAACAUGUGAGGUUUAGCAUCUAGGACAAAAGAAAUAGGAAUACGUGGGCUCCCAGUAUUCCCUAGCAAAACAAGACUAUCUGUAAAUCAGUUACAGCAAAUUACACCGUAGCUGUAUUCUGGGAUGCUGAAUUUAAAAGUUUGUGACCGAUGAGAUACAUUUUAUUUGUCGUGAGCUCUUUAUCAACAUUGUGUAUCACAGUUAGGUUUUAAGAAACGUUCUCAUAACAAUUAAAACUCCUUUAUAAAAAUGCCAACAUCAAGCAAAUGGAAACGCUGAAAUACACCUUGUUCUCAGGUUUUCUUUUUAUCAAGUAUUGAAAGCUUAAUUCUAAUAAGAAUAUUAAGUAAAUAAAUGUUAACUCUGCCCGGUGCUAUUAGCAUAGUUGAAAUUGCAGUUUAUAAAUUUUUGAGAGCAUCGGCAUCAUGAUAUGGUUGUCAUAGAAACUGGGACAAUAUGUCAUUUCAAUUAAUUUUACAUGCAGUGAUGCUGAGGUCUGUGUAACAAAUCUUUUGAGAAGUUAUGGAAGUAAAUAUAGAAAAGCGGGAAUAAAAAAUACAAGCAAGUAACUGUACCCUCCAAUUAUGAUUUAAUUAACAAAACAGGAAGAGUUCUAAAUUACUGCUAAAACUGUAAUCCAGCACAUGGCUGGAGAAACUAGUUAAGGAGACUUUCACUUCAAAAAGCACUGAAGUUUAAGAGAUGAAAGAUAGGAAAAUUCAGUCUGUGACUGAAAAUGGUAUCAUUUCCCAGUGAAGCAGAUUUGGACAAAAUAUUUUAAAGAGGAAAAAAAAAGAUUUAUUCCUGUUUAAGAACUAUAAUAUAUAAAAUAGUUUCAAAUCAUGAAUGGUCCCUUUGUGUAAGAAUCAAAAAGUCAAAAUUGUUACAAAUCCAGAACCAUAAUACAAUAGCAAAAAAAGAAGCUUUAGAGGUAGGAAAUGUGACAUGAAUAGAUUUAUUUUUCCUGUAGAAUGCAGCUACUGUGUGUUAUGAAUGCUACCUUAGGUAAAUUAUUGCCAGACACACUCAACUGCCAUUAACAACUUGAUUAUUAAAACAGAAAAGCUAACCAAAAUAAAGGCAGUGGGUUUUUUUUGUUGUUGUUAAAAAAUAAUAAAUGUUUUUUAGCAACAUAAAAUGCACUUAUUUCUUUUUGCCGUUAUACGACAGCAUCAGCAUAUACUCUUGUUCUCACAUUGCAUAUAUGAUGUGGUACCUAAUCCAGUAGUUUAUAUAUGAAAAAAAGUACUGAGCUCAUCCUAGAGAACAAAAUGUACGUUUGCAGCCCUUUUUACACAGUAAUCAAUAAUUACAUAGUAUAUUUUGUUUAAAUUUACUGAGUUGCUACACAGAUUAGAAUAUGCAAGACCUUUCAAAGUGAGACAUGAAACAAGCUGUAAGUAAAUAGAAACUAUCAAUAUUAAAAACAAAACUAAAGGCUGGGGGGGGGGGGGGGGGGGGGGGGAGGAAAACAUUAAAAAAGAAGAAAAAUCAGCCUGAAGAAGCUAUUUGCAAUGAGAGAGGAGAAGCAUCUAGAGCUAGCCUUUCUGAUAGGAUUAAGGAGCGCUACAAAAGCAGCAUUUAAAUCUCUAGUUUUCCCUGACAAUUAACAAUGAAAAGCAGAUGUUUACAAAGCUAUUUUACAUGCUGGUUUAUAAGAUGCUAAAAGAUGGUUUGUGGAUGGUAAGAAGGAAGAGCUGGAUAACUGCUUGUCUGGUGUAUAUUUAAAAGCAUUUUCAUUGGCUCAGUUAUUGUUAAUAAUGAAAGAAACACUUUGCGCUGUAUGGCUGUGACUAUAGAAAACUGCCGUCAUAAAGUCCUCAACAAACUCUUAAGAUGCAAUUUACAAAGAUAAUAAUAACACAGAAUUAUUUCACUUCUCUGAAUGCUACACAUUUGCAUACCAGGACUGUGUACAAUAUACUCAUAAUGCACAUUCAUAACAACAAGGACUUCUUAACACUGCAAUAGCACAAGAUCUGUGCAUUAAAAAUCUACAGUUCCAAGUUUUCCUUUUUGGUGGGAAACCAUUUGUCUGUAUAAGCCAGAUGCUCUGCAGCUAUACGAGAUAAGACCACAUUCAAUUCUAUACCUUUGAGUGUAAUCAUAUUAAAAAAUAUAUGGAAGGCUGGCAGGUAGCAGCACUGAAUCGCCCUCAUAUAGAAAUAUGGCAAAUGGACUCGUCACAUAAAUUGCAGAGGUCUUGUCUCUACUGUGAGUCAGGAGAUGUGAGUUCUGUUCCUGGCUGUGCUACAAACCUACAGUGUUUCUGAACAAGUCACUUACACCAAGUCACUUGAGCAAAGAGCAAUGCAAAGAAUGCAUGCCUCAAGCUCCAUUUAGACAGAUCCCUAUCUGCUUAUAUCGAAUGCAGGCAAACGUAAGCAUAUGCUUUAGGAAAGCCGGGGCCUAUCCUUUCUGGACUUUUCAUCUUCUUGUCCUGUUUUUCUACAUGGAAUGAGAUUGUUGGGAGACAUAUUCCAUAAAAGACUCCUCAUAUUAAUUAUAUUUAUGCAUAACGAGAUUCCUAUUAAAAGUCCCAGCUCUGUGAAGACUCACAUGCACGUUUCACUUCACACAUUUGUAGCAGUCCCAUUUACUCUAAUAGAAUUAUUCACUCUGUGUAAUUCUAGGCAUAUAAACUUCAGCAGUAUCAGGAACUAAGUUGAUGGAAUAGAUAACGUGUAAAAACACCCAGGCAAGUUAGUAAUGAGGCUCAGGCUUCACAUCUUUGGAGACCUAUGUCACACGCAGUAGGAGGACUAUACAUUGCACUAUUAUAGCAGCCUGGUAGAAGCACAAGGAUGCACAGCCAACUUGAUGCUAAGUAUUUUGGCUGUCUUAUCAUACCUACAUUUUCAAAACAAACAAAAACCUCUUUGUGCCAUGUAAAAUAAUUCAAAAGAACCUUUAGUUUUAAUCAUAAAAGGUACUCAUAAAUCACCAACAUGUUAACACCAUCCAAGUUGGUUUUGUUUUUCUUACCUCAGACACUGAAUAAAUUCUGACUUCUGUUAGUGCUUAUGUUAUGCCUAUUAUUUGCUCAGUUAUGAAUGAAUAUAUGGCACUAAAGUACAAAAAUAUUCAUCUUAGGUGGCCUGAUUUAAUUUCUUUGAUGGACUCUUAAACAAUUCAGUUCCCAUCUACAGGCUACUCUCUUGGUGUAAAAUUAUGCUACAUAUAUAAAACGUAUAUAUGCAAAGCAGGUCAAGUUCCCAACUAGCAGAUGCAGCCAUACUACACUUCAUCCAAACAGAGACUGCUUCUGGUUAAAACUAAACAUGCAUAUAAACGUUUAUAGAAUUGGGGCAGAAAGUAGCAAACAGUCUUCCUGAUCUGGAUGGAUUUUUACACACAUUACAAAUAACAUUAUUUACACCGAAAUCUAACAGCAAGACUCUACCGAAAACAUUUUGUGUACCUUUCAAAAAACACCAUGGGGAACAUAUCUUCUCAGCAGCUGCUAUUUGAUAGGGGAGAUAAGGACAAACAAAGGAAGCAACAUCUAUCUCAGCCUGAAACAGCCUGUGCUGGUAUUGUACUCAUGCCAAGCACCACAACAGCUAAUACAACCCAUAUCAUAACUGCCUGGUUUUUUUUUCUGGUGCCAGCUUCCUAAGCUGAGACACAAAAGGUACCCUCCCUUCUCACUCUCCUCCUCCCACAGAAAUUAGCCUCCUGGCUGAGUCCUUGAAUUCUUGCCUGCCACAACCCAAGAGGAGGGAGGCAUAAUUUGCCUCUCAGUAUUUCGCCUCUCAGUAUUUUGGCAUUAUUUUAAUUCCAUGGUAUUUUAAUAAUAGGGACCGGUUAGGAUUUUUUUCUUAAGCAUCUAAAAUGUCCGUGACUAAAGUUUCUGUUCUUAUGGUUUUCCUUUUCUUUUUUUCUCUCCCUUUCCUGUUCUUAACAUGUGUUUCAAUUAGCUUUCUAAUUUAUGCAACAGAAAGGCAUGCCCAAGGUGAACAUUUUGAUUUUAAAAAAUAAUAAUAAAAAUGGAAACAUUCAUCGCCUUCAGCAUAGGAAAGCUUUUGCUCCCAGAAGUUGGAAUUUAAAAUAAAAUUAUGAUGAGCAAAAGGAAAACACUAUAGAAUAAACCAUGGGGCCACCACCUCCAAAUCCCCAACUCUUAUGAACAGAAGUUAUUAGCUUCUUUAGUACAGUCAUUUUUCAAUCAAGAUUGGAAUCUGGAGAUAUUUUCAAGGUGUCACAGCUUCUGUUUUUGCUUUUUCUUUCUAGAACUCGUAAUUGCAAGGAAAAAUUGUUAUUCUUUCAAUGUACAAAAUUAGGGAGAGUUGACUAUGGAAUUAGCACUGUAUUCGAUUUGAAUGCAUACACAUCUAUUGUGGCCACAUAUGAUGAACGUUCUGUAAAACAUCCUGCAUAACCACCAUGUUCAGCACAGGGAGCAGUUCCAAAGGAAUAACAAAAAAAAUAGACGUUGUAAGGUACUUUCUAAGGUUCUAUGUUAAAGAAUUUAUUAAGGCCUAUUUAAUGAAAGAGAAAGAUAGGAGAAUAAAAUAGGUGCUCUAAAUGUAGUAUACCAUACUGAGUCCUUUUUUUCAUUCUUGAAUUUCAGAUUCUAAAAACCCUAACUCUCUCUCACUCAGUAUUUGGCACACUUGUUUUCUAAGAGUGGGAUUCAAACUUUUCAAAGCCUUUACAUGAGGAACUUGUUUCUUUUUGCUAAAAAAAAAAAAUUAAUGAAAGAUAGGAAUCCUUUGAUUUAGAGAGAAGUUUUAUUUUGUGGAGAAUAUUAAGGGAUUUUACUGUUGAUAUUUUCACAUUAAUAUACAUUAUUUAUCUCCACAGGGUGGCGAAAAAGAGAAAAUUGCAAAGACUUACUGGGUGGCAGGAAGUGGGAUUCACUAUAAUCAACAGCAGCGGGGGACUCUUUGAGGUUGUGUUGCAAGAUAUAUUCAAGAUUUUAGCAGAAAGAAAAUAAUUGCAUUUAAUAUUGUGCUGGUGGGAAAUAGCAUAUGUUCAAUCUUUUCCAGCUUUUAUACUUACAUUUAGAUUCAGACUCUUGCCCUUAAGAUGCUACUCCUUAAGGUUUGGAGACAAUUUUUCUAGUACGGUUAUGCUGAGGAUGUUAUAUUAUUAGCCAGGAAGAGCUUUACACUAUUUGGAUUUUUUUUUCUUCCAGAAUUUACCAAAGGUUUGUGAACACACUCACUGGACAAAACAAACAGCCCUGUGUUCAAUAACUAAGCUAUUUCCAACCCAUAAUGAAAUUUCCAGCACUAUGUUUCGAUUUUUUUUCAUGAAAAAAAUCAGGAACAAUGCAUUUUCUCAGAUACUUGCUGGAAAGUUCUUCCUGGAUCAAAUCACUGUCACUUCUAUCAUUCAUAGCUUCCUUUAGAAAGGGUCUGCUCUGUCUGUAGAAAGAGUAACUGAUAAGCUGAUGAAAUAAUAGAAGUUUCUUAAGACAGAAAAAGCUGCCAGUCUUGCAAAGCUUUUCUACGCUUAAGGGGGAAGAAAAUUUAUGUAUAUGACAAACUAACAUCAGGGCUCAACUAUAACUCAGAUGACUUCAGGAAAUUAUGUAGGUCACUCUGAAAGUAAUGCCUCCUAUUUAUUUCUAUGGAAAUUACAACAGAUACAAAGAGCGCAAUAACACUGUUUGGUUGAGGAAAGUCUCACCUACAAAACACUAUUUUUCAACAUAGUCACCACCAUUAACUAUGCAUUUUCACCAGCAGUGAACAACAGCCUUCAUGACACGCUCGUAAAAAUGUGCACCAGUGGAGGAGUCCCACUGUCACCACUGCUGAAAUGCACCACCAACCGCUUCCCUGUGCUCACAUCCACUGGUUGGUCUCCAGAAACAUUCAGCACGUGUUGAUGAAUGCCAGUGUGUGCCAUUUUUUCCAACCUUUGCUUCAUUUGUACUUCCAUGUCAGAUGCCAUUCUGUAAGACUGCCCCUCUGCUGCCAUCUGCCAUGCAGCAACAAAAUAUAAUGGAAUAUUAGCAGGAAGGUUCAGUCUCUACUACCAUACCACCAACAUCUGCUCCUGACCUUGUAGGCCAAUAUAACAAAAUAGGAGGCAUUACUUUUGGUGCUGCUCUCAUAAGAGUAGCUACGUAGAAUUCUAUUUUGUAAUUGUGUCUAUUGUGUAGAACUCUAUUAAAAUCAAAUACACUAAUACAGAAUGGCAUCUUCAUAGUAUGUUUCAGUAUUGUCCUGUUGUGCCCAUAAUUAACUAUGUAGAAAAGAAAAACUGCCCACUGUCUGGCCUAUCCUUUCCUCUGACUAAAAAAACAUAUUAAUCUAAACAAAAUAUCUAUAUUUUAGUGAUUAAAGUAGGUGAGAAUUCUGUCUUGCAUGACUACUGCAACCCUUGACCUGAUUCAGCAUUUACCUUUUGUAAUUCCCCUGCUUUGUGUGACUAGAAUAUGAACCAUGUGGUAGACCUUCAAUUAUGUAAAACACUAAAGGAACACUGAUCAUUUACACUCUAUGCAGAUCUACCUAAUCUUUCCCUAUGAGUAGAUGCACACAUCAGGUAAGCAUAUGAAAUUAUUCUUAUGUGAAAAUCUCUUAGAGCAUUCCUUACUUUAACUGUAUUGCAUUCUCAUUUUUGUAUUUAAAUACAAAUAGAAAUACAUAUGGGUGUAUAAAAAACACAUGAUCAACUUCUGGAAUAUGAAACACACCAGAUCUGGGCUGUGUACUGACAGGUGUCUGCAAAAAUACUUUAUCUGGAAGUCGUGUGUUGAAGGAAGAGUUGGGGAAAUAAUAUUUCAUUCAAGAAAAACCUUCUUAAAAGUGACAUAAAGGCUAAGCAAAUUAGUUUAAUUUGUAAAAUCUAAUGACUGUACUCCACAAGCUGCAGUUCCACAGUUACUUUAUGUGGCUUGAUAGCUGGCAUCAAAGAAUAUACCUUUGUGGCUCUACCCUCACUACCAGCACUAAUAUUAAGUCAGUUAAAGAAACAGAUCUGGAUUGUGGAAGAGGAGCUGUUGUGAUUUGAAAGCAGAUACACAAAAGCUACUGCUGGCACAAGAGGAGAUAGAGUGAAAGGAUGUUGGUAUGGAGAUCAUAUCACUACUUUUAGCUUGAAGGAAAGAGUGGAACUGCAGCCUGCUGAUGUGAUCCCAUGGCACGUUAAACAGACAAAUGUUCAGUUAACACAGUCUUGCCUCCCAUCCUUUCGCUACCAACUAAGCAUUUCUGUUCUUUCCCUUGCAUCAGCACUAACACCCACACAAGUGUGCAGGAGCCAGUUCAGGGAGGUGACUUGUCUGGAAGCUAACCCCACAGAAGUUGUUUUAAAAAAAGAAAUGCACAACCAAACAAAAAAACUUUUCAACCAGAUCUGCUCCAAGGAGCAAUUCACAGAAUGAUCACACAAGAACUAGUGCCAGCACAAUGGAGAAGGUGGAAACACAGAGCCAGAGGCAAUAGAAGAGAGGACAAGGCAGCCCAAACUUAGAUCAACUCCAGCUGUGAUGGACCUGGAGCCAGAGCCAGCCUGACCACUUACAAGCUUCCUCUGAAACCUCUGCACUUUCUUUGAAAACACUGUGAUAGAAUGAGUAUGUAUAUAGAGUUUAAAUCACCAAGAUGCCAAAGAAAAACAAGGAAUAAAAUCAAGAAGCUUACUUGCACACUGAAUGAGACAGAAGCAAGAAAAGAAAAAAAGAAAACACUUUUGGUCUUAAAGUUCUGUAGCAUAGUUUCUGUAGAAUGUAAUAGGCAAGGACAAAUCAUUCCUGACUUGAGUACUAGAGCUAUACAGACCACAUUUUUGAGUGAAUUUCCACUUUCUAAGCCUUCACAGUGUAUUUUUGGGCUGACAGGAACAUGCUAGCAUUGGCUUCUGAAAGCAUUAUUUUUAGUUCGCAGGACUCCACAUCAUUAUAAAACAUAUUAUUCCAUGUUUUUUUUUUUUUUUUUUUUGGCAACUAAAACAAAAAAAUGUUUGAGAUGAGAAGAUAAGGUAGAGACAGCUUGAGAAGGACUGGAAAGGUCUGAGAUUAAGCAAACCAGGAGUGAGCAUUGGGCCAGAAUUAACAGUGCUGUAGACGGAAGCUCUUUUCUCUAUGCAGGCACAUUAACUUUGCCAUCCCGCAUCCACAAAAAUGUGAAUAUUUUGUCAGUUGAGGAUAUAUAACAAAUUGACCCUAGCUUAAGUUUUAAGGACAGCUGUGUAAGACAUGACUAAAUAAUGGUAAACUGAAUUUAAAAGUAGGUAGAAAAAUCUUUACUCACGGGGAAAUAAAAUUAACAACAAAAAGAUUUCUAAUAUAGCAUUCACACUAUAAAUAAAGGAAACAAUAUCUUGUAUGAUGGCUACAGUAGCAAUACUAUGAAAAAUACAAAACUGUCCAUAAAAGACGAAUUUUCUUAAAGCUUUGGAAAUUGCCAAUUGACAAAAACCAAAGGGAGACUAUAAAGGGUUGGCAUGUUAAUUCCUGAAAGAGAACCGCCUAUUUGAAAGUAACUUCGAUUAGAUCAGCAAGCCAGCUGCACAGAGGCUGACUCAGACCACUGAGAUAUUUGAGCAGUUUAUGUGUGCAAAGUACUUAUGUAAAUAAAAAGAUAUUACUAGGUUUAGUUUAUCUAUCCGCAGCCUGUACUAGUUGGAAGGAAGCUAAGACUAUCACUGAUUUAGAGGAAAACAGAUGAAAAGCCUAAAAAAAUCGUAACGACUCUGUGACUUGUCAUGAGUGCUCAUAAUGAAGGACUGUAACAGACAGCAGUGACAUUUAGUAUUGUGAAAUCUCUGGUGCUAAGAAUACACAUUAACUAGCAGACGUAUCUCCAAAUCUAAGUAGGAUAAGGUAGUGUUUACAUACAUGUUUGUGCUCCCACUGUUGUAGUAUUUUCCUUUCCUGAAGUACAAAUGUUCUAGAUCCUUUCCUGAAAACUUAGGAAUUAUCAACCAUGCAUAAAUGAUCUGAGAGCAUAAAAAGAUUUCAGAAAGUUCAGUAUGAGCAGCAAGGUACUUUAAUAGUUAACACAAACAUUUGAACACAAGAUGGGACCAAAAUGCCUGCUUCUGGAGGACAGCAGCAGAGAGUAGCAAGGAAAGAGUACAAAAUGAUAUGUCAAGGGGAAAAGCUGGGAAAGAGUUGUCAAAGGAAUUCCAAGAGAAAAGGGAUCAGAAGCAAUUCACAUGCAAUCAGUCUGCUUUCAGAACUGGACAAUUCUAGGAUUCCAGUUUUACAGAAAUAAAAGUUUCUCAGAAACCUUUUAAUGUGGGACUUUCCCCAAUGCUGUGUACAGCCACUGUGGGGAGGUGAGGAAAGGAAAAGAAUCAGCCUUCUGAAGCUUUGAUUGCUGGCCAUAAAAACAAAGUUUAGUUGAUUUAAUCCCAUUUGGAUAUUUAUUUACCUAUUCUUAUCUUGGUUAGCAAGCAGAAAACAUCCUGGAAAGGGAAAAUGCAUAGCAAUCAGGAGAAUAGGAUACUAUAUCUGAAUCUCAGGAAAUGAAACACGGGCUUUAGUGAUAUGAUCAGAAAAACACCUGUAAAUCCCAUCCCUUUCUGGUUUGUUUUCUUGAUGGAGUUUUGGUAGCAAUCUUCAAAACCGAAUUCAAUUUCGCCAAGCAGAUCACGUCAGUUGAGCUCCAACUGCCUGUAGGAGCACAGCUUGAGGAUUCAACCACACCUAGUGGUUGGAUUAGAUUAGAUCAGCUUUAAUUAGAUUUUUCCUUAGGGAAUUUGUCACAGAGACCGAACAGCCUUUUUUCAUUUGUUUAAAAAGAAAAAAAAUGCAGUUUCAUCUUAACAGCAGAAAGACAGUAAAACAUAGAAAUGAGAAUAUAAGAAUCACAGAAUGCCUUUCCUAUCUACAGGAUUUUAAUAUAUUAAAUACAAUUUUUGUCUAAGUCAAUCAUCACAGAGUUCUAGCUCUUUUAAUCAGUAUGUUGGUAUACAAGUGCGUACCACUGAGGCAACCCUGGGGCUGCUGUCUCCACAGUUGUUGUUCAGGCAGUGUUUUGCAAUUCCCCAUGCUGUGUAGCACAGGAUUAUCCAACCUGGCAUACUUCUUCACAUUCCUACCAUCACACUGAAUUACGACACGCAUACAGAAAACAUUACCAUAACACAAUUAUGAAAUAACCACCCUAAAUUAGUAGAUCACAUGUAGUAUUCCAAAAGCAGGAAGUGUUUCCUACCUAAAAUUUAAAGAUUAUUACUAGUCAGGAGAGAUCACUGAUCUCUCUUUAGGAUUAAUUCAUGAUGUGAAAUAUCCUCUUUAUCGGAUGGUAGUCAUUAGGAGAAUUCAUGGGUGGAUCAGUGAUCUUUGAAUCUCUGCUAGAUUGUCACUCACCUUCUGCAAUACCCUAAAGAAAUAUGUUGUUUGUUGAUUAAUCAUUGUAGUACAGAAAAAAUAAAGCAAUUCAUUAAAAAAAAAAAAAGCCCACAGUGAAACUGAGGUUUGCAAAUGCCUACCAAUGCAGUGAGUAUAAAUUGCCUUAUAAAACAAGCUGUAAGGUAGAUAAUCAGCAUGACAGGACAUUGAAUACUGGGGUUGUAUUUUUUUUUUCUUUUUAAACAGACUGAAGUCAAUGUUCAGCUCAUUCUCAAAAUUUAAGUUGUCCUGUGGAAAGGUACAGAACAGCCAAAAUCUCUAGACAACAAACACAAACAAAUUCUUCCUUUCUAAAAGGUCACUAAGAUGCACAAGUCAAUUACUUACAAUGCAAGAACAUGAACUAGGUUACUUUACUUACUGGUGCUGUCUAAACUUAAAAAUAUUCCACACUGAAGGUUCACUUUCCAGGCAUGCUGUCCUAUACUAGGCUUGAGAAUCUUUCCCUGCACGACCAUUAAAAGUGCUUUCAAGUCACAAAUGCACCAUACAUUUCUCAAGAGCUGUAAGUCUGAACACUUGAACUUCAGAAUUCUUAAUGAAAUUACUUGUAGCUACAGAUUGUCUUUUGGUAUCUCACAAUUUUAAAGUAAUUUAAAAAAUCCAGUAGUUGCAUUUUUACAUGUUAAAAUGGAAAUGGUUAUGGUUCCAAUCUGCUUCUCAUAGCAUGUAAAAAUAUCACAUAUACAUAAUUCUGGUAGGCACCGUGCUUUAUUAUAUUAGCAUUUACUGGGGGAAAAAAAAUCAAGUAAUUUUUCUGGCCAGAAGUUUAUGAACUAGAGUUGGAAAGCUGGUCUAUAAAUCAAGCAAACAAUUUCACUAUCAAUUACUUUCUCUCUCCCUUCAAAGUGUCUAUUGCACACAGAGAUGUCAUUAAACAGGAUUGCAGAAAGAAGCUACACAAUAAUAUUUGCCCAACUUGUUUCAAUUUUCAUUUACUUCAAUAUAGCACAACAUACUUCAGAGUCAGUAAUCAGUAAUUUAAAUUUGAAAUUCCUUACCUACUUUUCACCAUCAAAAAUACAAGGUAUUUCAAAAACAAUUGUUCUGUUAGUAAUGUUGCAGAUAUUACAGUUUCAUUACGAAAAGAAAUGAAUUAUAUUGCUAUCCAAGAACAGUAUAAGUUACAAACAAUAAAACCACCAUCAAAAAUUAAAAAUGACCUUCAUUGAAUAUCUAAGACUGUUAUCUAUGUUCAGAUCUUAACAGUUCAACAUUCAAACUGCAUUUUUAUGUCUCCUACAUAAUAAAUUCAGUCAUUUUAGCAGGUCUACAAAAUUAACAGAGAGCAGAAACCCCUACCCACAAAUGCAGCCUAAUGUAGCAGGCCCUGCUACAUUGUUCUCUAGCACCUCUAACUCCUUCAUUUGCAUCUGCAUAUGUGUAGCAUUCCUUGCCUUUCUGCACAUCUUAGGUAUUAUUAAAACUCAGAUCAAGAUAAAUAAGAUAUUUAGGACACCUACACAUUUUAAAGUAAAACCAGUUCAUGAAUAAGCUAAAAGAGCCAGGCUGAAGCAGUACAUGUCAAGACCACAAUGUGAGCUUCUCCCUUACUCGCUGCUAACAGCUUGCUUUCACUCAAUGUGUAUAGAAGAAUGCUUAUAGUAACAAGUUCUCAUCUAGAGAGUAAAGGAAGAAACUAUUAUUACAUCAAGUUUCCUUUGCCAUCUUAGAAUCAAAUCACAUAAGUGUGACAAGGGAAACUGUUAGCAUUAAUCCCAACUCAUUACAUUCUUAAUUCUUAGUUUAGCCAUUCACCUAACAAGAAAUACCUCACAUAGAAUUUAUAAAAUUCCAUUAAAUUAUUGCAUGAGAUUAUUACAUACAUUCACAUUCUUAAUGUUGUGUGUAUGUAUGUAUAUUUAUAUUCAUGGAGACACAGGAAGACAAAUACAUUUAUAGCGUAUAGACAGAUACACGUGUGUACUUCUGUGUGAAAUCAAAACAUUUUGAAAGAAGAAAAAAAAUUCUUUGUUUGACCACACUCAUUACCUACUAGUGGGCUGUUCAUACAGGCUUUCCUUAGGAAAAUACACAGUCACGAGUUUUACUAUAGGUAUACAAAGCAAACAAUCAAAAACUUUCUUCAGCAAAUUUGUAAAGUAAUCCAACCACACAAACUAAAAUUUUCUCUUCAGCCUGAAGGAAUAAAAGAGAUAUCUUUGGCUCAAAUGUUUUAAAAUGUAUCAUCUCAAUACCUGCAUAAGUAAAAACAGUGCUCAGUGCUGUAACCCUUACAAGUGAAAUUAGUGCCAGUUAGAAAAAGAGGGAAGAGGGGCUGCACAGCACUGAAGAUCUGAGUGCUUUAUAACCCUUCUGAUACACCUGAGUCAGCGCUUUCUUUCCUUUGCUACUUAUCUAAUCCUACUUCUUGCCUUCAUGGCAAAAGCUACUGGUUUUAUGACAGUCCAAGUAAAAGUGGUCAGUAGUGCAGUAUUCCCACAGAAAGUCAAAACACUCAUGGAAAUAUGGAAAUGAAUUUUUCCAGAUUCAACACCAUGCCACAACAUGACUUUAGGCAAAGUUUCACUUCUUGUCACCAUGUUGUUAUCUCUGACUAACAACCUUGUUCUGCUUCAAACAUGCAUGGGUAUCACCCACCAGCCAUCAAACUGCUGUUGGGGUCAGGCAUUCACAAAACAAUAGAUUAAAAUAAUAGGAAUGCUGUAUAGCGGACAAAUUACUCUGUUGAGCUGUCUGUAGUAACAGAGGCACUGACCCCUGAAGGACUUCACAGAGCCGUACCUGCUGCAAUUCAGAACAACUCUUCAGCCAAAGGGGGCCAUUCUUAGCAGAAAUUAUAUGUAGGCUCCCAUGGUGUAAAAACCCUAUGAAAGCCAUGAAAAUUCACUAAGCUUCCUUACGUACGGUGCCAAGACAUUCAGCAGGAACCUUGGUCCUUGCCAAGAAACACGUGUGCCUCAGAUACAGAAGCUCUGCAUGUACCGGUAUUUCAACAUUCCUGGAGAGAAAUGUGACCCCUUGAUGAAUACACUGGUUUGCUGGCAUGCCUGCAUUCCUCCCCAUCUGUCAGAGUGGCAUUCUGCCUCCUCACAAGGUGGGAUGCCAGUUUUGGAGCACAGGUGCCAACCAAAUAUAGGUUCAGACUAAUACUCUGCAAAAUGUGGCAAAUGACAUUUCACCUGCAAGAAGAUCGUCCUACCUCUGACCCGUGCCAAGUUAGGAUUGCAUGCCUCAUUAACAAAGGGGGUCAUCUUCUGAAAAUCAUGGGCAGCACCAGAAAUGCUGGUUUCCUCUGUAAUAUCUCCUAGCUGAGAGUCUUCAGAGCAGAGGCUUAAUUUACAACACACCAGAUUUUCCUAACAUUGCAGGCAUGCAGCCCUUCUGAGAAAGCUGCAAUAGACCAUGGACAGGGAUAUGUUGAGUUCAUUCUCCUAGACGCAUUUCGGACAAAUUCCAGGAUUCUUAAAAAGAGUAAAUGAACUAACGGAGCAGAAAAGACACAAGUAAAGAUGUGUAUUACCUCUGAGGGGUUUUGCUAACAACACAAAGAAAAUUAUCUGUUAUGACCAUCAAGAAAAAAAAAAACAACCCACACUUGUUAUCAACUACCGAAGCACUCAUAAUUUUAAAAUUCUUAUAAAAUAAUCAAGUUUUUUAUUAGAAAAAUUGACAUAAAAUACAAACAUGCUACAGUUAUCUCUUAGUUUGAGAAUUUAUGUUCAUGUGAAAGCACAUUAGUAAUGAACAACCACUCUGUAUAAAAAACAUUCAUCAUACAGUGCCAAUACUGAUUUGUAUUAAGUGGUGUCUCAAUAUCUUCAGAAUAAAGUAUAUUUUGAAUGCUUUCUCUAAGUAAAAUAUCCCACACUAUUUUAAUCUAACAAGAAAAGUUAAAUAUUCACUUGGUCAACAAACAGAAUAAACCAAAAAUGGUAUUGGCUUUGCUCCCAAAUUAGCUUACCUAUACUUUAUAUAUAAAUGUGAGCAACAAUAACAGAGUAUUGUUAAUCUAAAAAAUAUAUAUCUCCUUUCUGGAAAUAACUAAUUAUACCUUGUUUGGCAAUUUGUCACCAUUUCUGUAAUUUCUUUAUCCCAGGUCGCACGUGAAAUAGCAGCAGCUUUAGCUUAAGUUUUGUUAAACUGAUUAUCCACAAAUGAAAGUCAUUCUGUACAAUUCCAUAUUAUUUAGACUACUCAGAGAGCACACCACUGCUUUCCCAAAUGACAAGCUCCAAGCUAUUAGCUCUUCCUAGCACAAAAUUACAAACCAAUGCCUUGAAUUCUAUAAUUAUAACUCAAUACGUUAAGAUGCAGAGUCCUGCAUCUGAGAUGAAAUAACCCCAUGCAACAUGACAGGCUGGAGGCCAACUGGCUAGCGAGCCUAUUUGCAAGGAAAAAGCCUGGAGGUUCCUGUGGACAACAAGCUCAUCAUGAACCAGCAGCGUGCCCUGGCAGCAAAGAAAGCCAGCAGCAUCCUGGGCUGUACUAACGGAAGCACUGACAGCAGACUGAGGGACUUGAUAAUUCCCAUCUUUCUGGCACCUGUGAGCCUGCAUCAGGAGCAGCGCCUCCAGCUCUGAUCUCCCCAGUUCAAGAAAGACACUGAAAGAGCAGAGCAGGUCAGCAGAGGCACCAAGGCAAUCUGCAAGACGUGCAAGAAGAAGCAGAAAGAGCUGGUGUGCACAGCCUGAAAAACAGCAGGCAGAGGGGAGAGCUUAUCACUGCCUGCAGCUGCUUAAUGAGAGGGAGUGAGGAAGAUGAAACGAGGAUCCUCACAGAGGUACACCAUGAAAUGACAAGUGGCAAUGGAUACAAGUCAAAUUACAGAAAGUUGUAAUGCAACAUAAGGAAAAAACUGCCAUAAGGAUGGUCAAACUCUGGGCUAGGUUGCCAAGAAACAAUGCAGUGUUACCAUUCUUAGAGAUACUGGAAACCACACUGGACAUGGCCCUGUGUUUUAAUGGGAUUUGCAUCAAGCAGGAGGUAGGACUAGAUGAGCCUUGGUGGUCCCUUCCAACCAACAUGAGUCUAUGUUGCUGAUAUACAUGAUUUUAUAUGAUACACGUACCAGUUUUGGCAAUGGAAAUGGAAAAUAUAGGAACAUUCACUCACUAAGCUGUUUAGGGACAGCAUAUGGCCUUAUUUUUUUCAUCUCAGCUUUCCAUGCAAAGAAAACAUCUCAGUCUUCUGUACCAACCUCACUUCUAGUAAAUUAACAGCAUUAUAUGUGACACUUUUACUAAGCCUUCCCAUUUUGGAUCCCAAAUUCUUUCUAAAUAAUGUAUUACCUAAAAAUAGAAAAAGGCACCUGGUACACCCCCUGAGAAAACAAAGACCUAAAGUCAGCAGAACAACCUAUCUUUCUUCCUGUUACUUUGUACCUGUGGGCCAUAACCACAGGUUAUUGUAUAUAUUAUAUAUUAUUAUAUAACAUAAUGCUUUCUAGACAGGAUACAGUUACAGUCUCAGACCUAUCGUAAGUAUCAUGAUAUAAAAAAGGACGUGAUCUUUCACAUCCAGGUUAAUUUAUUUAAAAUGUAUUAUUUCAGACAAUUAAAAAUACCUUGAUGCUUGAGCUCAAAUUCCUAUGCUUAAUGUCAAAGUGUACAUGCAUUGCUGCAGUACUGCAACUGCCACUUUAUGUUGUUUACUAUAAGAAAAUGCAUACCAAAAUGUUAAAGUCAACCGCAGUGUAGGCAGAAUGCACAGUAGGUUUUUGGCAAAGUUGGCGGACAGUUUAUAGUUUAUUAAUGCUGUGUAUAGCUUGAAAAGUUCACUACAUUAAUUUUAAAGACUUGAUGCAAGAAAUAAGAUGUUGGUGUUAAAAAGGUAAAAGCGGGUAAUGAAUUUCCCUUUUAUUUUUGUAUUUAUUGCAGUCACUCAAAGGCAAUAGGCUGUGACUGAUACUGAAUUAAUAAUCCAUGGCCCAGCACAGGGACAAAGUAAAAGAGUAAAUAUCUAUUCAUACGUCCUUUUGUAUAGUAAAGAUCUUACAGUAGCAAAAACCAAGGGGACCUGCUGUCUGCAUGUUAAGUAACACAGGUCACCAGAACACAUACAAACUGGCUGCAAUGGACCUAAUUCAUCUUACAGGUUCCUGUAAGUAGGAGGAGUAGUGAAUGAUCACAAAUGUGGACCACAGACUGUCAGGACACAAAUUAGUGUAGGUGUUUUUGUAGAAGGAAAAAUGUCUGUAAUGCAGUGGCAGUUGACAGUACUGUGACACAGCCCUACUGUGGAAAUGCAGAUUUGUGUCAGUCUUCAAGGCUUAUUUGGACAUCAGAUGCACGUGAAAGUUUUGUGUAUUCCACUGAGCAUGAAAGUCAAGCAGAAACAUUUCAGAAAGGACUGACUUGGGACCUACACACACACACAUCAGAAUGGCAGUGCACCUUCUUUUUGUUUGUUUUUCAAACCAAGAUCUUUUUCAGAUCAUUUUGAAUUGAAUUAAAAACAUCAGUAUAAAGAUACCUGGUGUAAUGUCUUAUACCUCUCUACUGGCCGCUUCCACAAAUGUUGCUGAAACCCCUAAGGAGGAGCAACUACUACAGUCACACAGGAUUAGGAAGAACAUGCAGAGCCAGAGCCAGUUUUCCCCACAGCAAUUACAUUUCCUUCUGAUUUCUCUUUGCUCAUACAGAAAAAGAUUCAAAGGUAUUAGAAACAGGGAAUCAUUAUAAUAAAAACACGUAUUCUCUAUGCAGACAACUUUCAACUGACUUCAGAGACUUGGUUUUCACAGUGUUAUAUGACUCAAAAAACAGACUGUUGACCCUGCCCAAGCUUUUUCAGAGAAGAAUUUGUCACCGUACUGUAUAAAGGUUUGUCCGUACCAUUUUCAAAUUACCCGAUAAUUUCAAUUCCCUAAGAAAACCAAAUGGAAACGUUAGGUUCCCAUGAGGCGUUCAAUUUUCCUUGAAGUAUUCUGCUUUACUACACAUGAAUGAAGCAGAAGAUAGAGGAACUACUGAAUUUUCCGUCUAAAACACAAUUCAUUUUGAUAAUGCUCAAGGUUUGGUUUCAUCAUUCAGGCUCAGGGUAGAAUAAUUGAAUUUGGCAAAUACUUCCUGUGAAAUGUCUUGUCUUUAGUAGCGCUUUUGUGUGUUAUUGAGCACAAAAGAAAAAGAAGGAAAAGAGGAGAGAUAUUUAAAGCUGUAUCUUCAUUGCAAUAGAAAAGGAUUUGUACCCAGGUACAGUAUUCUAGUACUGUAUUGGGUACAGUGGUAAAUGAAGAAGCCCAGACAGUCUAAUAUGAUGUAAUAUCUCAGUGGAAGGAAAGCUCUCUGUUUCUUUAUUUUGAUGUAGCUGGUUCACAUUCACUGCAAGUAAGAGAGAUGCCUGGCCUUGGCUGGCUACCCUGAUAUAGAAGCUACCUGGCUCCUUGCUCCCCUAGGACUGCGCCUAUAGAGAGUUGUCCUAACUUACCUUUUGACUUGCUAAAAAAUGGGGAUUUUUUUUUAAUCUUUGUAUUGAGAACAAAGCCUAAUACAUGCAACAGUACUGGAAGCCUACACAGAGCUGGGUUCAAGGACAACAAUUCUCCAUUCUUUGUUUUCUUCAUUUGUUAAGUUGAGGCAACAACUCUUACUUCUUUCCCUGUGGUACUGAAUGAUGGCAUCUCUCCUAGCCCAGAGAUAAAAGUAAGUGAAGAUAGUCUUUGUAUUGAUGUGCUGCCUGUCUUGUUUACGACAGAAACUAUGUUGUUUUUAGAAAGAAAGCUUCUAAGAAAAGCUUUUAUAACAGGUUCAGAAAUAUAAAAGCCAUUUCAGGAUGAGGACACCUCUAUCCUUUAUUUUGUUAGUCCUUGAAAGGGCUUUUUAAAUGUUAACAGCUACGACUGACUUCCCUCAACUGAUGCUCCCUUCUCAGCAAUCCUUUUGUUGACAUCUCUUUGUUUGCCCUUAGCUUGCUCCUUCUUCCCAACCCCAUAAAAUAGAACUUAGCAAGAGCUUGGGCUGAACUUUUGGCAGACAUCAUGACACUAAACCACACUGAGCAAGUACUUUGUGUAAAGCAAGAUCACAAUUAAAAAUAUGCCUUUCCCCAGCUCCAACUAUAUACAGAAUAUUUUCCACUCUUCUCUGUGGUAACCUCUACAUACGGCAGUGGUCAGAAAAGCAGCAGCAUUUUCAUCUUAAAGUAUACUGAAAGAGAUGAAACAUUUCUAAAAUGCCAGGGCAAUAUCCCGUUUCCACUUAAAAAAAAAAAAAGAGUUUCCUGCUAAAACCAAAUUUAAUUUAAACUGUGUACUUCAAGUAGGUGUAUGUGUACAUAUGAAACGUACUGUUUUUUAAUUUCAAGGUACAAAAAAAAAAGCAUCAGUAGUUACCUUGCUAAGCUUUCGUACAAAUACUGGCAGCAUUCCCUAUUUCACAGUGGUAACUACUUUAAGUAUCCGAAGUUCAUUAUCAUUAAUUAAAAAUUCUAUAUCACUAGAGAAGAGGUUGAUCCUAUUUUAUAUGCCGAUGUCAGCACAUUAUCAAUUACAGUAGCCCGGUUACACUAUAGCUAGUAUUUUCCAUUUAUACAUUGCUUUGAACACUUUGCACAACCCUUAAUUAGUUCUUAACAAUGUAGAUAUAUUAUCUUAUAUAAUCCUAGAUAAAGCAGAAAGAUAAGGUAUGCCUAGGAUGCUUAUCCUUGGGCAGAGCCAGGACUAUAACAGGGGAAGAUUCAGCUCUGAAAACACAGCUCCCAGACCAGGGUCGUCCUGCCUCAUUACUGCAGCUCAGUCAGUACCGUGAGGCAAAGACAUUCUUAUCACAUUAGACAAUGAAAAAAGGCCUUUUGGCUGUUAAACUUAGCUCGACUUUAAUCCUCUCUGCCUCCAGAGAUCUCAAUACAUAUAUAUUUUUUUCAAACGUUCUAGGUCAUAUUCCUCUAAGAUAGAACUACUGCAAGAUCUAGGUAAGCUUCAGCUUUUCCAUACCUAGCUUUCCUAAGCUAGCAUCUGCCUGGAAGUUCUUGUUGCUGAGGUUCAAAGCUUGUAAAUGGGCUGGUGCAGAAAGUCUUCACUAAGGUAGUUUUUCUGGCAUUUCUUGUAACAGAGUUGGUUUCCUCCCACCUCCAAAGAUGGUUCCCACCCCAAGACAGGAGCUCAUCACCAAAGCAGAAGUAUAUGGAAAAGUCUAAGACUGAGAGUAACUGUCUAGAACAGUGAAUAGUUUCGUCACCUUAAGGGCCAUUAGACCUCACCUCACUCUCACCUCAUUGUCUAGGGGUUCUUCCCUACCGUUCUUUAGCUAUGUGGAUGGGCAGUCAUUUAGGUGAAGUCUGAUUGCUGCAUUACAACCAGUUUCUACUUCAUGACGAAACUGUACCUCCUGUGCCCUAAGUGCCAGCUUCCAGAGCAUCUCUUCUGAGAGAAAGCCACAGAACUGUGGAAAAUUCCCACAAAUGUUGCCCAGGAUCCUUACCUACUAUUUUAUUUAUAUGCUAAAACAGUCUCACAGAUUCAAGAAGACAGGUUUCUUCUUAAAAGCCAAUCUGUCUAGUUCUCCUGUGAAUCAUGCUAUUUUUUCAGUUGUUCAAAAAGGACAGGAAAUACAACAGCGGAUCUUAACAUGACAGGAUGUUCAUAGCGCUGUCCUUUCUCCUAAUUUACUAGUAAUGCUGGAGUAAAGCAAAGCUCAAGACUCACACAUUCUCAGAACAACCUGUAAUACCUCCAUAUAGAUAAGUGAUGCUUUUGCAUAACCAGUUUUCAGAGACAAUUCACAUUUUUGCCAGCAGUCUGAUCGCUCCAUUUUUAAGUUACCCCAAAAGUACACGGUGGUAUUUCGUGCUAGAGAUGUAUCUGUCUUUUUAUUAUUAAGGUAACUCUUUUCUUCAAAAGCAAAAUUUUUAUCACAAGUGAGCAAUAAGGUAAUGAAUAUAUUUAUAGAAGUCCCUUACUAAAAUGUUAUUAGCACAUCAUUAUUUAUAAUGUAAACAAAAAACACCAUUGCAGUCAGCAAUAUAAAUAAUAGUAUAUUUCAGCCAUCCUGAAAAGAACUUGAAGUUAAUUGUAAGCCACAACUGAGACCGAGUGAUACAAUCUGAUUUUGACUAAGCACAAAGCCUGAUUUUCUUGCACCUUCUGCUUUUUUCCCCAAUAGCAAUCCUUCUCGGUUUGUCCCGUAAGGAAACCAUAACCACAGACCUAAAAUGCCCCACGUGUUUUUCUUAAGGAACAAGUCUUAAAGCAUAACAGUACAAAAACCACCAUAAAAACUUAAGUGAAAAAAAAAAAAAGAAAAAAAAAAUAAAAUGUCACUGAUAUUAAACCGGCACAAUUCCUAUUUAACAGACUGAAAAUGCUGCUAGAUACUGUGAAAAAUGAAGUGGUAUUUUUACUUUCUCAAUGACUAUGCUAUUGAUUACACUUCUUGCAUUCCGUUUGUGAUAAAUCAUUGUUAAAACAAUUGAAAUUUCAGUUAAGCAUGCCCUUUUAACAGUCACUAUGUAAUUAUAUAGAUUCAUUAAAAACGGGAUAAAGUUGUAAAUACAAUACUCUCUUAUAUUAAUGCUCCCUCCUGCUCUUUAUCAUUGUCAAGUUAUUAUGGCAGUUUUAGAAAACAGGAGUAACAGCUGAGCCUCUGUUUGGUUUUGCACACUCAGUGCAAUAUAUGUAAACAUGAAUAUAAAUAUCACUGUCCUAGUGCUGUUUUAUAUAAAUAAUAUCAAAAAAAAUGACAGCCAACAUAUAUCUG